rnacentral:lncRNA from 1 species
AUCUCCCUCCGGAGUGGGUCAGGCACUGCUGGCCUGAGGACCACCUCCCCAGGAGUGGCACCACCCACAGUGAGUUGGACAACUUCCCCCAAUAUCAAUCAUCAGUCAAGAAGAUGUUGUACAGAUGUACAGACAUGCCUUCAGGACAGUCUUACGGAUACAGUUUCCUCUUCCCAGAUAUGUUUAGAUUUGUGUCAAGUUGACAAAAGCCAACCAGAGCAGUCCCUGGGAACAUUGGGGAAAAUACAGAAGAGAGCUUGCAGCUGGGGUCUAAGACAGCCAAACAAACCACAUGAGAGGAGAGGCAGGGCUCUAGGAAAACCAACCAAGCCAGUCUUGGCCAGAACCCACAAUCCCACAGAUUCCUCUUUGGGGAAUGUCCUGGCCAGUUUUAUGUCAACUUGACACAAGCUAGAGCCACCAGAGAGGAGGGAGCUUCAGUUAAGAAAAUGCCUCUGUAAGAUAACACUAUGAGCAAGACUGUAGGGUAUUUUCUUAAUUAAUAUUGGUGGGGGAGGGCCCAUCCCAUUAUGGGUGAUGCUAUCUCUGGACUGGUGGUCCUGGGUUCUAUAAGAAAGCAGGCUGACAAACCCACAGGGAGCAGCACCCUCCAUGGCCGUCUGCAUCAGCUCCCAUCCCCAGGUUCCUGCCUGGCUUGAGUUACUCUCCUGACUCCCUUUGAUGAUAAUCCGUGAUGCU